rnacentral:rRNA from 1 species
AAUAUUGCACAAUGGGCGAAAGCCUGAUGCAGCAACGCCGCGUGAGUGAUGAAUGCCANCGGGACNUNAAUCACUUUGAUCAGAGNCAAUAAUGACAGUACCUGAAAAACAAGCCACGGCUAACUACGUGCCAGCAGCCGCGGUAAUACGUAGGUGGCGAGCGUUGUCCGGAAUUACUGGGCGUAAAGGAUGCGUAGGUGGAUACUUAAGUGGGAUGUGAAAUCCCCGGGCUCAACCCGGGAACUGCAUUCCAAACUGGGUAUCUAGAGUGCAGGAGAGGAAAGCGGAAUUCCUAGUGUAGCGGUGAAAUGCGUAGAUAUUAGGAGGAACACCAGUGGCGAAGGCGGCUUUCUGGACUGUAACUGACACUGAGGCAUGAAAGCGUGGGUAGCAAACAGG